GAUCGCAGUCUGCAACUCGACUGCGUGAAGGUGGAGUCGCUAGUAAUCGCGGAUCAGCAACGCCGCGGUGAAUGCGUUCCCGGGCCUUGUACACACCGCCCGUCAAGUCAUGAAAGUGGGCAGCACCCGAAGACGGUGGCCUAACCCUUGUGGGGGGAGCCGUCUAAGGUGAGGCUCGUGAUUGGGACUAAGUCGUAACAAGGUAAC
rnacentral:rRNA from 1 species